rnacentral:rRNA from 1 species
GGUUAAGCGACUAAGCGUACACGGUGGAUGCCCUGGCAGUCAGAGGCGAUGAAGGACGUGCUAAUCUGCGAUAAGCGUCGGUGAGGUGAUAUGAACCGUUAUAACCGGCGAUUUCCGAAUGGGGAAACCCAGUGUGUUUCGACACACUAUCAUUAACUGAAUCCAUAGGUUAAUGAGGCGAACCGGGGGAACUGAAACAUCUAAGUACCCCGAGGAAAAGAAAUCAACCGAGAUUCCCCCAGUAGCGGCGAGCGAACGGGGAGCAGCCCAGAGCCUGAAUCAGUGUGUGUGUUAGUGGAAGCGUCUGGAAAGGCGCGCGAUACAGGGUGACAGCCCCGUACACAAAAAUGCACAUGCUGUGAGCUCGAUGAGUAGGGCGGGACACGUGGUAUCCUGUCUGAAUAUGGGGGGACCAUCCUCCAAGGCUAAAUACUCCUGACUGACCGAUAGUGAACCAGUACCGUGAGGGAAAGGCGAAAAGAACCCCGGCGAGGGGAGUGAAAAAGAACCUGAAACCGUGUACGUACAAGCAGUGGGAGCCUCUUUAUGGGGUGACUGCGUACCUUUUGUAUAAUGGGUCAGCGACUUAUAUUCUGUAGCAAGGUUAACCGAAUAGGGGAGCCGAAGGGAAACCGAGUCUUAACUGGGCGUUAAGUUGCAGGGUAUAGACCCGAAACCCGGUGAUCUAGCCAUGGGCAGGUUGAAGGUUGGGUAACACUAACUGGAGGACCGAACCGACUAAUGUUGAAAAAUUAGCGGAUGACUUGUGGCUGGGGGUGAAAGGCCAAUCAAACCGGGAGAUAGCUGGUUCUCCCCGAAAGCUAUUUAGGUAGCGCCUCGUGAAUUCAUCUCCGGGGGUAGAGCACUGUUUCGGCAAGGGGGUCAUCCCGACUUACCAACCCGAUGCAAACUGCGAAUACCGGAGAAUGUUAUCACGGGAGACACACGGCGGGUGCUAACGUCCGUCGUGAAGAGGGAAACAACCCAGACCGCCAGCUAAGGUCCCAAAGUCAUGGUUAAGUGGGAAACGAUGUGGGAAGGCCCAGACAGCCAGGAUGUUGGCUUAGAAGCAGCCAUCAUUUAAAGAAAGCGUAAUAGCUCACUGGUCGAGUCGGCCUGCGCGGAAGAUGUAACGGGGCUAAACCAUGCACCGAAGCUGCGGCAGCGACGCUUAUGCGUUGUUGGGUAGGGGAGCGUUCUGUAAGCCUGCGAAGGUGUGCUGUGAGGUAUGCUGGAGGUAUCAGAAGUGCGAAUGCUGACAUAAGUAACGAUAAAGCGGGUGAAAAGCCCGCUCGCCGGAAGACCAAGGGUUCCUGUCCAACGUUAAUCGGGGCAGGGUGAGUCGACCCCUAAGGCGAGGCCGAAAGGCGUAGUCGAUGGGAAACAGGUUAAUAUUCCUGUACUUGGUGUUACUGCGAAGGGGGGACGGAGAAGGCUAUGUUGGCCGGGCGACGGUUGUCCCGGUUUAAGCGUGUAGGCUGAUUUUCCAGGCAAAUCCGGAAAAUCAAGGCUGAGGCGUGAUGACGAGGCACUACGGUGCUGAAGCAACAAAUGCCCUGCUUCCAGGAAAAGCCUCUAAGCAUCAGGUAACAUCAAAUCGUACCCCAAACCGACACAGGUGGUCAGGUAGAGAAUACCAAGGCGCUUGAGAGAACUCGGGUGAAGGAACUAGGCAAAAUGGUGCCGUAACUUCGGGAGAAGGCACGCUGAUAUGUAGGUGAAGCGACUUGCUCGUGGAGCUGAAAUCAGUCGAAGAUACCAGCUGGCUGCAACUGUUUAUUAAAAACACAGCACUGUGCAAACACGAAAGUGGACGUAUACGGUGUGACGCCUGCCCGGUGCCGGAAGGUUAAUUGAUGGGGUUAGCGGUAACGCGAAGCUCUUGAUCGAAGCCCCGGUAAACGGCGGCCGUAACUAUAACGGUCCUAAGGUAGCGAAAUUCCUUGUCGGGUAAGUUCCGACCUGCACGAAUGGCGUAAUGAUGGCCAGGCUGUCUCCACCCGAGACUCAGUGAAAUUGAACUCGCUGUGAAGAUGCAGUGUACCCGCGGCAAGACGGAAAGACCCCGUGAACCUUUACUAUAGCUUGACACUGAACAUUGAGCCUUGAUGUGUAGGAUAGGUGGGAGGCUUUGAAGUGUGGACGCCAGUCUGCAUGGAGCCGGCCUUGAAAUACCACCCUUUAAUGUUUGAUGUUCUAACGUUGGCCCCUGAUCGGGGUUGCGGACAGUGUCUGGUGGGUAGUUUGACUGGGGCGGUCUCCUCCUAAAGAGUAACGGAGGAGCACGAAGGUUGGCUAAUCCUGGUCGGACAUCAGGAGGUUAGUGCAAUGGCAUAAGCCAGCUUGACUGCGAGCGUGACGGCGCGAGCAGGUGCGAAAGCAGGUCAUAGUGAUCCGGUGGUUCUGAAUGGAAGGGCCAUCGCUCAACGGAUAAAAGGUACUCCGGGGAUAACAGGCUGAUACCGCCCAAGAGUUCAUAUCGACGGCGGUGUUUGGCACCUCGAUGUCGGCUCAUCACAUCCUGGGGCUGAAGUAGGUCCCAAGGGUAUGGCUGUUCGCCAUUUAAAGUGGUACGCGAGCUGGGUUUAGAACGUCGUGAGACAGUUCGGUCCCUAUCUGCCGUGGGCGCUGGAGAACUGAGGGGGGCUGCUCCUAGUACGAGAGGACCGGAGUGGACGCAUCACUGGUGUUCGGGUUGUCAUGCCAAUGGCACUGCCCGGUAGCUAAAUGCGGAAGAGAUAAGUGCUGAAAGCAUCUAAGCACGAAACUUGCCCCGAGAUGAGUUCUCCCUGAGACUUAGAGUCUCCUGAAGGAACGUUGAAGACGACGACGUUGAUAGGCCGGGUGUGUAAGCGCAGCGAUGCGUUGAGCUAACCGGUACUAAUGAACCGUGAGGCUUAACCUU